GCUUCCGGAUCGAAGAACUCGCCGGCAGCGGCGAUAGCUUCUGCGGCCGCAUCGCGGUCUUCCUGACGGCUGUUGACGUCUUCGCCGCGGUUGAUGCGCUCGGCUUCCGCUUCGGAGCGAGCAACCGUCGUCGACACAUGCACUUCGACUUCAGGAUGCACCGCGAUGGUGAUCUUGUGCUGGCCGAUGACCUNUGAUCUUGAUCGGCGCGUCGAGCAGCACCUGCUGACGGUUGAGCGAGACGCCGUCGGCUUC
rnacentral:misc_RNA from 1 species